rnacentral:rRNA from 1 species
UACGUAGGGGGCAAGCGUUGUCCGGAUUUAUUGGGCGUAAAGAGCGUGUAGGCGGCCAGGUAGGUCCGUUGUGAAAACUCGAGGCUCAACCUCGAGACGUCGGCGGAAACCCUCUGGCUAGAGUCCGGAAGAGGAGAGUGGAAUUCCUGGUGUAGCGGUGAAAUGCGCAGAUAUCAGGAAGAACACCCGUGGCGAAGGCGGCUCUCUGGGGCGGUACUGACGCUGAGGAGCGAAAGCGUGGGGAGCAAACAGG